rnacentral:lncRNA from 1 species
UUUCCUUCCCAAAUCGAGUACUCUCUAUCCUCCCAUCAGCCAAGAUAAAGCCAAAUCCUGAAUCUCCCAACGUCCGCGUUCACCUCCCCUGCUCAAAUGAUCCCAACUCAAUCCCACGUCAUCCCCUCGUUCCCACGUUUUUGCUUCAGAACAGAGCAGAGAUUAUAUCAACGCUCACCAUCCGCAUGAGAUCCCUCUCAUCUUCACCCGGAUUCUUCCCAGAUUUCCUCCCAUCCGCGUGUCUUCCCUCUUCCGAACCAAGCCAUCCUUUUCNN